rnacentral:misc_RNA from 1 species
CAACCCUCAAGCUCUGCUUGGUAUUGGAUGUCACUUAGCAUGGUGCAUCUUAAAAUCAGUGGCAGUGCUAUCCUGCUUCCAAGUGUAGUAAUAUUUCUCGCUUUGGAUGUUUAGGUGUGUGCUUGCCAACAACCCUCUAAUUUAUCAA